rnacentral:pre_miRNA from 1 species
UGAUGCAUCGCGUAGCCAAGGAUGACUUGCCGGCAUUAUAUUUCUUGGCCCGCCGGCAAGUCAUCUGGGGCUACGCGUUUGCCUCC